rnacentral:rRNA from 1 species
AGUGAACGCUGGCGGCAGGCCUAACACAUGCAAGUCGAACGGCAACACAGUACGAGAUUGCUCUUACGGGUGGCGAGUGGCUUACGGGCGGGGAAGACAUCCGUAUCUACCCUUUCGUGGGGGGUAACGUAGGGAAACUUACGCUAAUAUAGCAUCCCAUCUUCGUGUUUAUUCAGGGGAUCUUCGGAGCAUGAGCCUAUGAAUGCGCCGAUGUCGGAUUAGCUAGUGGGUGGGGUAAUGGCCCACGAAGGCGACGAUCCGUAGCAGGUCUGAGAGGAUGAUCGGCCACACUGGGACUGAGACACGGCCCAGACUCCUACGGGAGGCAGCAGUAGGGAAUAUUCGACAAUGGACGAAAGUCUGAUCCAGCCAUGCCGCGUGAGUGAAGAAGGCCUUCGGGUCGUAAAGCCCUUUUGUUGGGGAAGAAAAGCAGCAGGUUAAGACCCCGCUGUUCUUACGGUACCCAAAGAAGAAGCACCGGCUAACUUCGUG